rnacentral:lncRNA from 1 species
GCCAGCAUUGUCUAACAGAAUAUUUAAGGUAACCUUCCUGCAGGAUCCGACACUUGUUCUUGUGUGUACGAAAGCUAUGGCGAAGAUUUACGCGUGGAACAUCUUGGUAAUUUUGACCGUAUUGGCCAUUCUGUGUGCUGCUCGACAAGGAGUCGAUGCAUUGAAGCCUCGACGUUCAACUGGGGGAUCGUGUGGAAGGGGACUUGGGCGGCACAAAACUCCUCGUACUCCUCCCACAAAGACCCUUAGGCCUUGGACUGGCGGAUAACACGUGGACAAGGACAGCAACAUUAGGAAGAAUUCAACGAGAAUCUUCGUGCAACGAACUCGAUCGUGCAGGUGCUGAAGAUCAUCAGACCUGAAGAAACACGCUACAGAUUAUAUGAGGAAUGGUUCACACGCCUUGGCACCCACUCUAAGAAAAACUGCGCAUAAGUGCUUGCUUAGUCCUGCCUAACUAUGAGUUACUGCAUGCCAGUCCAGCUUUUUUACGUGACGUAUCAAAUAUAAAUAAUCGCUCAACCUUUG